CCUACGGGUGGCAGCAGUGGGGAAUGUUGCGCAAUGCUCGUAAGAGUGACGCAGCGACGCCGCGUGAAUGACGAAGGCCUUCGGGUCGUAAAGUUCUUUCGACAGGGAAGAAAAGGCCGAUAAGUAACUGUGUAUGUAUGGACGGUACCGGUAGAAGCAGCCCCGGCGAACUCCGUGCCAGCAGCCGCGGUAAUACGGAGGGGGCGAGCGUUGUUCGGAGUGACGGGGCGUAACGAGCACGUAGGCGGUGUUGUAAGUCAUUAGUCAAAGACUAGAGCUCAACUUUAGUAAGGCUAGUGAUACUCUCAUCCUAGAGUAUCAGAGCGGCUUGCAGAAUUCCUGGUGUAGCGG
rnacentral:rRNA from 1 species